rnacentral:rRNA from 1 species
AUACGGAGGGUCCAAGCGUUAUCCGGAAUCAUUGGGUUUAAAGGGUGCGCAGGCGGUUUAUUAAGUCAGUGGUGAAAUCUCGGGGCUCAACCUCGAAACUGCCAUUGAUACUGAUAAACUUGAGUUCAGUUGGAGUAGGCGGAAUGUGUAGUGUAGCGGUGAAAUGCUUAGAUAUUACACAGAACACCGAUAGCGAAGGCAGCUUACUAAACUGAUACUGACGCUGAGGCACGAAAGCGUGGGGAGCAAACAGGAUUAGAAACCCUAGUAGUCC